rnacentral:misc_RNA from 1 species
AAGUCGUAACAAGGUAACCGUAGGUGAACCUGCGGUUGGAUCAUUAAUAAAUGUGAUUUUCGACUCCUUCUCUUCUCGGAGAGAGGUUGAGUUGAUUACCAACCCCUUGUGAACUGUAAUUGUAUUUGGAUAGUGUGUUCUUUCAUGAGACGCCUGUCCGACCAUUUAAACAACCCUAUAAUUUUUCUGAUAUUAGAGAUAAAAGAGAAACAACUUUUGACAACGGAUCUCUUGGCUCUC